rnacentral:rRNA from 1 species
ACGCUAGCGGGAGGCCUAACACAUGCAAGCCGAGCGGUAUCUGUUCUUCGGAACAGAGAGAGCGGCGUACGGGUGCGGAACACGUGUGCAACCUGCCUUUAUCUGGGGGAUAGCCUUUCGAAAGGAAGAUUAAUACCCCAUAAUAUAUUUUACGGCAUCGUGGAAUAUUGAAAACUCCGGUGGAUAGAGAUGGGCACGCGCAAGAUUAGAUAGUUGGUGAGGUAACGGCUCACCAAGUCAGUGAUCUUUAGGGGGCCUGAGAGGGUGAUCCCCCACACUGGUACUGAGACACGGACCAGACUCCUACGGGAGGCAGCAGUGAGGAAUAUUGGACAAUGGGUGCAAGCCUGAUCCAGCCAUCCCGCGUGAAGGACUAAGGGCCCUAUGGGUUGUAAACUUCUUUUAUACUGGGAUAAACCUACUUACGUGUAAGUAGCUGAAGGUACAGUAUGAAUAAGCACCGGCUAACUCCGUGCCAGCAGCCGCGGUAAUACGGAGGGUGCAAGCGUUAUCCGGAUUUAUUGGGUUUAAAGGGUCCGUAGGCGGAUUCGUAAGUCAGUGGUGAAAUCUCAUAGCUUAACUAUGAAACUGCCAUUGAUACUGCGAGUCUUGAGUGAGAUUGAGGUAGCUGGAAUAAGUAGUGUAGCGGUGAAAUGCAUAGAUAUUACUUAGAACACCA